UACGAAGGGGGCUAGCGUUGCUCGGAAUUACUGGGCGUAAAGCGCACGUAGGCGGGUUCUUAAGUCGGUGGUGAAAUCCUGGAGCUCAACUCCAGAACUGCCUUCGAAACUGGGAAUCUUGAGUCCGGGAGAGGUGAGUGGAACUGCGAGUGUAGAGGUGAAAUUCGUAGAUAUUCGCAAGAACACCAGUGGCGAAGGCGGCUCACUGGCCCGGUACCGACGCUGAGGUGCGAAAGCGUGGGGAGCAAACAGG
rnacentral:rRNA from 1 species